AGGACAAACGCUGGCGGCGUGCAUAAAACAUGCAAGUCGGACGAGCCAAUCCCCGCAAGGGGAAAGGCUAGUGGCGAACGGCUGAGUAACACGUAGGUGAUCUGCCCUGAAGUGGGGGAUAACGACUCGAAAGAGUCGCUAAUACCGCAUGUGACCAUCGAUUCGUUUUCGAUGCUCAAAGUUGUAAGACGCUUUAGGAGGAGCCUGCGGCGGAUUAGCUAGUUGGUGAGGUAAUGGCCCACCAAGGCUUCGAUCCGU
rnacentral:rRNA from 1 species